rnacentral:rRNA from 1 species
AGCAGCCGCGGUAAUUCCAGCUCCAAUAGCGUAUAUUAAAGUUGUUGCAGUUAAAAAGCUCGUAGUUGAAUUUCGGGAUUGACACAUCGGUCGUGCCCUAAGGGGUAUGAACUGGUGUAGUCAAUUUCUCACCUUCUGGAGAACCGCGAUGCCCUUAAUUGGGUGUCACGGGGAACCAGGACCUUUACUUUGAAAAAAUUAGAGUGUUUAAAGCAAGCAUUUUGCUUGAAUACAUUAGCAUGGAAUAAUAAAAUAGGACGGCAUGAUUCUAUUUUGUUGGUUUCUAGGAUCACCGUAAUGAUUAAUAGGGAUAGUUGGGGGCAUUAGUAUUCAAUUGUCAGAGGUGAAAUUCUUGGAUUUAUUGAAGACUAACUACUGCGAAAGCAUUUGCCAAGGAUGUUUUCAUUAAUCAAGAACGAAAGUUAGGGGAUCGAAGACGAUCAGAUACCGUCGUAGUCUUAACCAUAAACUAUGCCGACUAGGAAUCAGACGAUGUUAAUUUUUAAUGACUCGUUUGGCA